rnacentral:tRNA from 1 species
AAGGGAGACCUAAUUCCAGUAGGAGACGAAAAAAAAGUAGUCCCUACCAAGAAUCAAUCCCAAAAGGUCGGAGCGAGGCAAAAUUGGCUUUCAAACUAGGUUCUGGGUUCACACAAGACCUGAAUCAGGAACAAGGGCUGUUAGCUCAGGUGGUUAGAGCGCACCCCUGAUAAGGGUGAGGUCCCUGGUUCGAGUCCAGGAUGGCCCACCUGCACAGGUGGAAGAAAGAAAAGAAGCUCCGAAUCAGCACCUUAUCUUACUUAUAUAGUAAGAGAGAAUGCUGGCUCUGAGUACAGAGUCCAGAGGAACCUUGAAAACUGCAUAGAGCUAGGUGAAAGAGCCAAAAAAGAAGACCGCAAGGUCAAGCUAAUAAGGGCUAACGGUGGAUACCUAGGCAC